rnacentral:lncRNA from 1 species
CUCUCUGGGUCUCUCUAUGGGUCUCUAUGGGUCUCUCUAUGGGUCUCUAUGGGUCUCUAUGGGUCUCUCUAUGGGUCUCUAUGGGUCUCUAUGGGUCUCUAUGGGUCUCUCUAUGGGUCUCUAUGGGUCUCUAUGGGGUCUCUCUAUGGGUCUCUAUGGGUCUCUCUAUGGGUCUCUCUAUGGGUCUCUCUAUGGGUCUCUCUAUGGGUCUCUAUGGGUCUCUCUAUGGGUCUCUGUGGGUCUCUAUGGAUCUCUCUAUGGGUCUCUGUGGGUCUCUAUGGGGUCUCUAUGGGGUCUCUAUGGGGUCUCUCUGGGUCUCUCUAUGGGGUCUCUAUGGGUCUCUAUGGGUCUCUCUGGGUCUCUCUAUGGGUCUCUAUGGGUCUCUAUGGGUCUCUCUGUGGGGCUCUCUGUGGGUCUCUCUGGGUCUCUCUGGGUCUCUAUGGGGUCUCUAUGGGUCUCUAUGCGUCUCUAUGCGUCUCUGUGGGUCUCUCUAUGGGUCUCUCUGGGCCCUUAUGUGUCCCUACUAUGGGUCUGGGACCCCCAAGUGUGGGGCUGGGCACCUAAGCGAGGGACUAGCUCCCCAAGUGUGGGUCAGGGACCCACAAGUGUGGGUCUCAGACCCCUGUCUCUGUGUCCGAGGCCACCACUGUAGCUCCA